UACGGGGGGAGCAAGCGUUGUUCGGAUUUACUGGGCGUAAAGGGCGCGUAGGCGGUCAGCACAAGUCAGUUGUGAAAUCUCCGGGCUUAACUCGGAAAGGUCAACUGAUACUGUGCGACUAGAGUGCGGAAGGGGCAACUGGAAUUCUCGGUGUAGCGGUGAAAUGCGUAGAUAUCAGGAAGAACACCAAUGGCGAAAGCAGCUCUCUGGGACGGUACUGACGCUGCGACGCGAAAGCGUGGGGAGCGAACAGG
rnacentral:rRNA from 1 species